ACUGCAGGGUUCCAUGCUGCUGACAUACGGUGCUUAAUGAGAAGUUGCCCGUGUUUUUUUCGCUUUAUAUGUGACGAAACAUUCGCGGUGCACUUCUUUUUCAGCAUCCUAUUCUACGUUGAAGACUUCGGGGUUCAACCGCUAACUUCAGGGAAGCCAUGUUAGUCUAUGUAGUGGGGCUGGGUUGAGGGUUUAUCUCCCUUCUUGAACGGUUUCCUGAGCUUUCUUAGCAAGAAUGGGUUAGGGUUGAUUGGACCCUCCCACCUCCUCUGUAGCUCAGCUUUAAAGGAAUCUGUUGAUUCCUUUCCUUUCAGCUGCUAUUGAUUGAGAGAUGAGACCUUAGCCCACAGGGCUGAUGAGAUACAAGGAGGUGUUUGUUAAGGCUUCUGGGAGAGGGAGUAGUUCUUCAUUUCUGUGAGAGAUGCCCGAGGACCCUCCAUGUUCCCUUCAGCCACUUGAUGUGGUAAUGAAUGUGAGCUUGAAAGCAAGCUAGAAUCCAAGAGGUCAUUACCCAGGGCUCUGUAGAUGCAGAGGGAAAGGCCUAUAUCCCAGGGGACAGAUUGGAGAGGCAGAAAGGAGCCAAGAAACAUCUGGGUAACAGAGUUCAACCUGGGACCUGCAUCAAAACUCAACAUGUCUCUAUACCUUUAAGUUGUAUGAGCCUGGACACCUCCUUUUUGUGUAAGUUGCCUUGAAUUUUACCUUUUGUGAGAGAAAUGAGUGACUCUUCGUUGAGUUACCAAUGAGUGUAACUGGCACUCUUUGGAUGAUACAUUCUCUUUGCUUGGCUAUCCCUAUUGUCCUGUAUAAGGUAGGUUGGUGGUACAAGGUCACUUUCUUUUGUGGAAUUCUUGGCUGUACUUCAGGUAUAUUAUUGUCUUAGUGCUUUAACUUUGCAAUGACACUAAGAUGCACUAAUGUGUUUUGUUUUCAGGGAAGGAUCACGUAUCCUCUUCAGGAGACCAGCAGGAUGAUGGACAGGCUUUACCUUCCCAGACUUCUCACCCUCAGAAUCCUGCACUCUGCCGUUCCUACCUCAUCCCUGGGCUUCGGAGUUCUCCGUAAGGUGCUUGCCAUGUUUGUCAAGUCACAAGUCACUGCUGUACAGGGCCAGCUUGCCUGCAGGGCGACCAGAGAGGAGGGCAUCUUAGUGGGGAGACCCAGGAAUCCGAACUGCAACAGGCAAGCGCAGCUGGUGUAUGCUGCCCUGGACGUCGUCACCCAGUCCUGUGUCCUUUCUUCCUCAACUCUAGAAAGGGACCGUGGAACUCAGGAAAGAGAGUCUGUCUUGGAGUUGGGCACCCUCCCAUUGCCCCUGAGUGACACUCUCCAGGGACACUGACAAGGGUAGAAGGCAGCAUUCCAGAACCCUCAACCUUGAUGAUCAAAUUCUACCCACCGAGACUUCCUGGGAUCCUAAGGUAGAGGGGAUCUGGGUUGGAUUGCUCUGGGCAUGAUGAGCACUGUGCCAUCUGCCUGUGCUCGGGACCCACCUCACCCUGCCCCAAUCUAGCCUUACCUACCACCCCUCCUGCCUGCCCCUCAGCAUCCCUUCACACCCAGGCACACUGCUGGAGCAAGCCAGAGCUCAUCUGUGGUACCUGAAAAGAAGUUGCCCGUGUUAUUUUCGCUUUUAUUUGUGACGAAACAAACAUGGUGCACUUCUUUUUCGAUAUCAAAUGUCACCUUGGAGCUCCCCAGGGACCAGUGGGAGGGGCGAGGGCUCCUAGGCUCACUUAGUACUUUUCUCCAUGCGCACGGGAGCAUUCGCCCCAAAGAAACACACCCCACUGCCACCCCUACCCCCACCCUCACCCUGUUGGCUCUGUGUGUUGCUGGGUUCAGAGACACUUGGUGUCUGUCUGCCCCCCUCCUGGGACAGGCAGAGUUGGUAAGGGAAGCCAGGAAGCACACCUCUAGACUCUCUCAUGGGACGGAGUUCAGAUAAGGGAAGCUCAGAAAAAUGAUCAAACAAAUCCAAGGACAGACCCAACAUAACCCAACAACCAGUACAAGUCAGCCACCAACUCCCUCCCGAGUUGACAAGUGCCUAGGUGUCAGCUUCAGGUGUGUACACCGAGACCUGUCACCUGUUGAGUGUCGCACACACACUGUAACUCUAGAAGAGACUGGGCCCCCAGCACAGCCCUGUUCCCGCUUCCUGUCCUGUCUCCACGGGCUGUGGUCUUGGAUACCAUCAGCAAGGCCUUGAGGACUGUGGGUGCUGGCUAUGAUCGGGACCAGGGAACAGCAAGCCGUCAUCAGCCACUGCUGUCUGUCUCUGGUCCCCGACGUUAGUCCCCCCGUGAGCUGUCCUCUGGAGCAGGUGUGAGGCUCUCUCGAAGACAGCUUUUUCCCAGUGGAUUCAUCUUCUUUACGGCUAAUGCUCUCUAGUAGUCUCUCCUCCUGGUAUCAAAUUUGCCUUUGAGCGUGGCUGUUUGGGUGCGGACCCUUGGCGGCUCUCUUAUGUGAGUGGGGGAAGGGAUACUAUCCAGAGAGUUUGUGUGUGAACACCUCAUCCACCCACCUCCCCUGGGGUGGAGGGCGGUUCUUGAAGCUGUGUCAGCAGGAGUAGGGGUUGUGGGAUCACUCUUGGGCCACACUUUGCUAACGUACAAUCCAUUCCUGUUGCUUUACUUAAUUUAUAACCAAAGCUUUGGGUACACUUAUAUAUAGCCGCUGUCAUAAUUCAUCAUCAAAACCCAGCACUGACUUCAUCACAGAGAUAUCACUAUAUCAGCCACACACUUAGCUCUUGGGUCAUACUGGCUCAGUAAUGCCUUUUCAACCUGCUAUGGCCCUAACUGUCCUUUGGGCUCUGUCCUGACUUCAAAGGAUAGAAACACCUUUGGAAAAGCAACAACUCUCCCUUUAUGUCCAUGGAGAAAGGCUACAGGGCAAGGGACAGGCAUGGUCAGCCCAUUUUCCUAGAUUGAAAGUCCCUUUCCACCUAGUGGGUACUGGCCUCGGUGCUGGUGGAGCAGUGAGCACGCCAUACAUUAUAUGUGUGACACCUGCCACCCAGCCCAAGGCCCCUAGGCCCACGUGCUUCUGGAGAGGGGUCUGACUUGGAUGCACCCAAAGAAUGCAGAGGAGACUUGCCCGGCAGUGCCUCUGUUUGGCACCUAAGGUAACCUGACUUGCUGAGUCCCUUUCACAGCCAGCCUUGUACUCUACUGGCAGACCUUUGGACGCUGUCAUUCAUCCCUCCAGCCAAGGUACGUGUAGGCCCAGAGGGAGCCUUGAGAGUAGAAUGUUCUCUGGGCACAAAUCUCACCCCCUGUCUCUUUCACAGGAGAUGCCUGGACAGGACUGCGGCAGCUGGCCCGGGAGAGGCCCCAAGGGAUGGCGUCCACCUCAAGGUGUUUGUUCAUGGAAGAUCUUAAACGUUGACCUCUUUCAAGCACAAAAUCUUUUCUUGAUGAUCUUUCUGCACCCAGUGUCAAGCUCAGGAAUAUGAUCAGCCCCUUGCUGAUGGGAUGUGAGCAGGUGGCUGGCCAGAUGGCAAGGGUUCCCAAAGAUCUGAACAAAUAGACAAGCACAAAUAUAUACUGAAAAACACAGCAAUGAGCACACGAUGAAGGGCCUCGUGACUUCAUGAAGGAGUACCAUGCAGGGAAGCAGGGAAGCAGCUUUGGUCCGCUGUCUGUCACACUGAUGUGCUGGACCUGCAUGUUGGAGCCUCCUGGACUCGUCCCGCUUCCCGAAAACUUCCUUGAUGUCUUCAGUGUUCCAUGGCAUGUGCAUGGAUGCUCCAGCAGACACUUUGCUGGGACCUUUGCCAUGGAUGCCCAAGAUGGGCUAUAUAUGGAAGAAGAACUGUCUUUGGGAGUCAUGAGGGGAGAAACCCCUUGUCAUGAUCUCUCGGGGAGGGGUACUUAGAGUGACUCUCUGCUGGGGCUUGUGACAACCAGGUGAUAUAUUUAGCUAUGAGGCAGGCACUAGGAGUCCAGAUUCUCUUCUGUUGUUAAUGUAGUCAUCUAGGCCAGGGUUCUCCAGAGCUGUUCAGCUUCUGAUAUUCAAAAGGUGAGUGUUCCUUCUAUGCCUCAGGUUAAUCAUAGAGGUAACACCCACAUUUUCAGUAUCUCAAGUUGCCCUGGAAUGUUUCUGAAUGCAAAAUGGCCCAGGGAAAAAGCGAGUUAUCUCCUCUUCCCCCACCCAGGGAUCGAGGGAGAGAUGGAUCCCACAACCUGUGCUUUCCACAGCAAGGUUGGUCCUGGAAUCUGUCCUCUGUGGGCUGUGCCGAGGGCGCCUGUCAGCUGUCUUCUUCAUUUCUGACGGAUUGGGCCUAGGCUCUUGCUCUUCAGGACUAAACCCUUUUGGUAUUUAAAAGGUGGAUAUUCCUUCUAUGUUUAUGGUAUUUAUGAUUAAACAUAGAGGAAAUUUCACGUUUUCAGUGUCAAAUGCUGCUGGGAAAUGGGCCUGAACUGAAGCCACCAUCAGGGCAGUGACAGUACAGUUGCCCCCUCCAGGGUAAGUGGGAAGCUGGCGAUCCACAGAGCAUGCGCCAGACUUGUAGGUGCCUGAGGGCCAUUGACCAAUCUUGAAGAUAAUCUCUGAUGAGCUGCUGGCUCAGUCAGAGGUUGGGGGUCUCAUUCUGGACUCUAUGACAGCAAAUCAGUCUUUCCCAUAGUAUCCCCUUUGCUUCAGAUAGGUUGUUCUUAGGUCGCGCUUUCCAAGAGUAAGCCCUGUUUGGUAUGUAAAAGGUAGAUUUUCCUUUUGUGGUUGUGUGCUUGCUGGUUAGUCAGAGAGGGACAUCCAUGUUUUCAGUCUCACAUGCCUCUUGGGAGCCAUGAUCCACCAGGGAAACAAGGCUGGGCUCAGCACCCUCUGGGUAAGUGGGAAGGUGGUGGACUGCAGACCAUGUGUGUUUCUCAUAUCAUAUGUCUGCUGACCAUCACCUUUAAGGGUCUCCUUGCCUGUGGAGCCAGCCUGACAAAGAGGCGAUGUUGCCUCACUACAGUGAUGUCUGGGCGUGGGAAUGAGAGUCUUUCUGUCUUGUGAUCUGUUUCAGAGAAGCCAUGCACCACAGCUGGUCCUUCCCGGAACUCAGCAUUUCUUUGGUAUUUAAAAGGUGGAUAUUCCUUCUAUGGUUACGUGCUUCCUGGAUAAUCAUAGAGGAACAUCCACUUUUUCAGUAUCA